GACGAACGCUGGCGGCGUGCUUAACACAUGCAAGUCGAACGGAAAGGCCCUGCUUUUGUGGGGUGCUCGAGUGGCGAACGUGUGAGUAACACGUGAGUAACCUGCCCUUGACUUUGGGAUAACUUCAGGAAACUGGGGCUAAUACCGGAUAGGAGCUCCUGCCGCAUGGUGGGGGUUGGAAAGUUUCGGCGGUUGGGGAUGGACUCGCGGCUUAUCAGCUUGUUGGUGGGGUAGUGGCUUACCAAGGCUUUGACGGGUAGCCGGCCUGAGAGGGUGACCGGCCACAUUGGGACUGAGAUACGGCCCAGACUCCUACGGGAGGCAGCAGUGGGGAAUAUUGCACAAUGGGCGGAAGCCUGAUGCAGCAACGCCGCGUGCGGGAUGACGGCCUUCGGGUUGUAAACCGCUUUCGCCUGUGACGAAGCGUGAGUGACGGUAAUGGGUAAAGAAGCACCGGCUAACUACGUG
rnacentral:rRNA from 1 species